rnacentral:rRNA from 1 species
GACGAACGCUGGCGGCGUGCUUAACACAUGCAAGUCGAGCGGUAAGGCCCUUUCGGGGGUACACGAGCGGCGAACGGGUGAGUAACACGUGGGUGACCUGCCCUCAGCUCUGGGAUAAGCCUGGGAAACUGGGUCUAAUACUGGAUAUGACUCCACGGCGCAUGUCGUGGGGUGGAAAGCCUUGUGCGGCUGUGGAUGGGCCCGCGGCCUAUCAGCUUGUUGGUGGGGNGAUGGCCUACCAAGGCGACGACGGGUAGCCGGCCUGAGAGGGCGACCGGCCACACUGGGACUGAGACACGGCCCAGACUCCUACGGGAGGCAGCAGUGGGGAAUCUUGCGCAAUGGGCGAAAGCCUGACGCAGCGACGCCGCGUGAGGGAUGACGGCCUGGUGUAACU